rnacentral:tRNA from 14 species
GGAGGGGUGGCCGAGCCCGGUUGAAGGCGUCCGACUCGAAAUCGGAUAGGGGCCCAGAAGGUCCCUCGGGGGUUCAAAUCCUCUCCCCUCCGCCA